GAACAAGCAAGAAAAUGUUCAGCACAUAAGCUUCUCUACUACCUGAAAAAAUGAGCUUUAACUUUGAACAUCACACAGAUCCAGUGAGAUACUUCUGAACAACUUUUCUGGCACACUCUUCCUUUCUGAAACGUGUGAUUCUCCCUCUGUGGUUUGGUGCACGGGAACUCGACAUAACUCAGGGUGGGAACUUGGCUACAAGGGCUAAGACUUCUAAUUUGUACUAGAGAAUGCCUCUUUUAUGGAUCUACACUGGGACUGAAGAUCACUUCUGAGUGAGCCCGCCUCAGCAUUCACAGGAAUCUAACAGGAAGGAAGCAGGUUCUAAAGUAACUUUCCUGUUGUUCCUAGAAAAAUAGUCACAACAGGGCAAAAGCAGUUACUCUCUGUAUUAUUCACAGCAUAAAUUAUAUGCUCCCAAAUAU
rnacentral:lncRNA from 1 species